rnacentral:rRNA from 1 species
AUUGAACGCUGGCGGCAGGCCUAACACAUGCAAGUCGAGCGAGCGGCGGACGGGUGAGUAAUGUAUGGGGACUGCCCGAUAGAGGGGGAUAACUACUGGAAACGGUAGCUAAUACCGCAUACUAUCGGAUAACCCAUAUGGGAUUAGCUAGUAGGUGAGGUAAUGGCUCACCUAGGCGACGAUCCCUCGCUGGUCUGAGAGGAUGAUCAGCCAGACUGGGACUGAGACGAGGCCCAGACGCCUACGGAGGCAGCAGUGGGGAAUAUUGCAGAAUGGGCGCAAGCCUGAUGCAGCCGUGGCGCGUGUAUGAAGAAGGCCCUAGAGUUGUAAAGUACUUUCAGUCGGGAGGGGUUACCGACAGAAGAAGCACCGGCUAACUCCGUGCCAGCCGCCGCGGUAAUAC